GGACAAAGACUGACGCUCAGGUGNGAAAGCGUGGGGAGCAAACAGGAUUAGAUNCNNGGUAGNNNACGCUGUAAACGAUGUCGACUUGGAGGUUGUGCCCUUGAGGCGUGGCUUCCGGAGCUAACGCGUUAAGUCGACCGCCUGGGGAGUACGGCCGCAAGGUUAAAACUCAAAUGAAUUGACGGGGGCCCGCACAAGCGGUGGAGCAUGUGGUUUAAUUCGAUGCAACGCGAAGAACCUUACCUACUCUUGACAUCCACGGAACUUGCCAGAGAUGGCUUGGUGCCUUCGGGAACCGUGAGACAGGUGCUGCAUGGCUGUCGUCAGCUCGUGUUGUGAAAUGUUGGGUUAAGUCCCGCAACGAGCGCAACCCUUAUCCUUUGUUGCCAGCACUUCGGGUGGGAACUCAAAGGAGACUGCCGGUGAUAAACCGGAGGAAGGUGGGGAUGACGUCAAGUCAUCAUGGCCCUUACGAGUAGGGCUACACACGUGCUACAAUGGCGUAUACAAAGAGAAGCAAACUCGCGAGAGCCAGCGGACCUCAUAAAGUACGUCGUAGUCCGGAUUGGAGUCUGCAACUCGACUCCAUGAAGUCGGAAUCGCUAGUAAUCGUAGAUCAGAAUGCUACGGUGAAUACGUUCCCGGGCCUUGUACACACCGCCCGUCACACCAUGGGAGUGGGUUGCAAAAGAAGUAGGUAGCUUAACCUUCGGGAGGGCGCUUACCACUUUGUGAUUCAUGACUGGGGUG
rnacentral:rRNA from 1 species